rnacentral:lncRNA from 1 species
AAAAAAUGAUGUUUCCUAGGUUUGGUGCCAAAUUAGUGUUCACAAAUUAUAAUGUUUGGAGUAUAAGGAUUCGAGUAUUUCUUGGAGAAUGCAAUUUAUGGCAAGAUGUCAUCGCAAAUCCAGAAAAGUGUAUUUCAAAAAAAGUUUGAGAAAUGAAAGAAAAAAGAACAAAGAAGAUUUUGCAAGGAGUAAUGCAUGAAGAAGUCUGGAUGCGUGUUGCAUGUUUUGAUUCUCUAUCUCAGUUAUGGAAUGAGCUUGAAUUGAUUUGCAAGAAUUAUAAAGGUUCAUCGUUACCUAAAGAGUCUUGGUUUUUGGAAGAG